GUCUUUUUGAUAAUAAUUUAAAGUCUAGCCUGCCCACUGAAUUAUUAAAUGGCCGCAGUAAUUUGACUGUGCAAAGGUAGCAUAAUCAUUAGGUUCUUAAUUAGAAUCUGGAAUGAAAGGUUGAACGAAAAAAUAACUGUCUCUUUAUAAAUUUUUUAGAAUUUUAUUUUUAAGUAAAAAAGCUUAAAUAUUUUUAAAAGACGAGAAGACCCUAUAGAGUUUUAUAUUAAUAAUUUUAAUAAGUAAUUAGAAUUUUAUGUUAAUUAAUUUUAUUAAUAUUUAGUUGGGGUGAUUGGAAAAUUUAAAUAACUUUUAAUUUAUUUAAACAUUAAUUUAUGAAUUAUUGAUCCAUAAUUUAUGAUUAAAAGAUAUAAUUACCUUAGGGAUAACAGCGUAAUUUCUUUUAAGAGUUCUUAUUGUAAAAGAAGAUKGCGACCUCGAUGUUGGAUUAAAAYUUAAUUUUGGUGAAGAAGCUAAAUUUUUAGGUCUGUUCGACCUUUAAAAUUUUACA
rnacentral:rRNA from 1 species